ACUCCUACGGGAGGCAGCAGUGGGGAAUAUUGCACAAUGGGCGCAAGCCUGAUGCAGCCAUGCCGCGUGAGUGAAGAAGGUUUUCGGAUCGUAAAACUCUGUCCUAAGGGAAGAAAAAAUGACGGUACCUUAGGAGGAAGCCCCGGCUAACUACGUGCCAGCAGCCGCGGUAAUACGUAGGGGGCAAGCGUUAUCCGGAAUCACUGGGGCGUAAAGGGUGCGUAGGCGGCUUAGCAAGCCAGGGGUGAAAGGCAUUGGCUCAACCAAUGUAAGCCUUUGGAACUGUUAAGCUUGAGUGCAGGAGAGGUAAGUGGAAUUCCUAGUGUAGAGGUGAAAUUCGUAGAUAUUAGGAGGAACACCAGUGGCGAAGGCGACUUACUGGACUGUAACUGACGCUGAUGCACGAAAGCGUGGUAGC
rnacentral:rRNA from 1 species